rnacentral:rRNA from 1 species
GAUGAACGCUGGCGGCGUGUCUAACACAUGCAAGUCGAACGGACAUUUUUUGGAAAGCUCUUCGGAACUGGAAUCUAAAUGUUAGUGGCGGACGGGUGAGUAACGCGUGAGCAAUCUGCCUUUCAGAGGGGGAUAACAGCCGGAAACGGCUGCUAAUACCGCAUAAUGCAUUGGAUUCGCAUGUUUCUGAUGCCAAAGAUUUUAUCGCUGAAAGAUGAGCUCGCGUCUGAUUAGCUAGUUGGCGGGGUAACGGCCCACCAAGGCGACGAUCAGUAGCCGGACUGAGAGGUUGAACGGCCACAUUGGGACUGAGACACGGCCCAGACUCCUACGGGAGGCAGCAGUGGGGAAUAUUGCACAAUGGGGGAAACCCUGAUGCAGCGACGCCGCGUGGAGGAAGAAGGUCUUCGGAUUGUAAACUCCUGUUGUUGAGGAAGAUAAUGACGGUACUCAACAAGGAAGUGACGGCUAACUACGUGCCAGCAGCCGCGGUAAAACGUAGGUCACAAGCGUUGUCCGGAAUUACUGGGUGUAAAGGGAGCGCAGGCGGGAAAGCAAGUUGGAAGUGAAAUCCAUGGGCUCAACCCAUGAACUGCUUUCAAAACUGUUUUUCUUGAGUAGUGCAGAGGUAGGCGGAAUUCCCGGUGUAGCGGUGGAAUGCGUAGAUAUCGGGAGGAACACCAGUGGCGAAAGCGGCCUACUGGGCACCAACUGACGCUGAGGCUCGAAAGUGUGNGUAGCANACAGG